CAAUAUGUCUGGGAGCCAUUGGACACUUUUGGUAAUCGACAAACAAAAGAGAUGGUAUACUACCUUGAUCCUAUGGAAGGUCAUGUAGAAGAAGUUAUCAGCGAAGCAACAAGAGUUGAACUUUCACAGUUUAUCAAAAGCAUUUGUGCCCUUGUUGAUCUAAAAAGUGGGUGGAACACAUCAACUUGGUCUAUUAUUCAGCCUUCACACUAUGUGCAAGAGGAUGGGUUUAACUGUGGAAUAAUUAUUUGCCUUUUGCUGAAUAUCUGAGUCAAAAUCUUGACAUAAAUGCAAAGUUUGACAUGAGAAAAGUGAGGCACGUGAC